GACGAACGCUGGCGGCGUGCUUAACACAUGCAAGUCGAGCGGUAAGGCCCUUUCGGGGGUACACGAGCGGCGAACGGGUGAGUAACACGUGGGUGACCUGCCCUUAGCUCUGGGAUAAGCCUGGGAAACUGGGUCUAAUACCGGAUAUGACUCCAUGAUGCAUGUUGUGGGGUGGAAAGCCUUGUGCGGCUAGGGAUGGGCCCGCGGCCUAUCAGCUUGUUGGUGGGGUGAUGGCCUACCAAGGCGACGACGGGUAGCCGGCCUGAGAGGGCGACCGGCCACACUGGGACUGAGACACGGCCCAGACUCCUACGGGAGGCAGCAGUGGGGAAUCUUGCGCAAUGGGCGAAAGCCUGACGCAGCGACGCCGCGUGAGGGAUGACGGCCUGGUGUAAC
rnacentral:rRNA from 1 species